rnacentral:lncRNA from 1 species
CCAGGCAGUUUUCCUCAUUCCUUUGCCCCUCCUCUUCCCAUUUGUUUUCAUUUCUCCCCCUUCCUCCUCCUCCCCCUCCUCUACCUCCUCCUCCUCCCCUCCUCCUUCUCCUUCUUCCCUCCCUCCCCAGCCCAGCAGUCCAACCUGCAUUCCCCUGCAGGAACCGUCUCCACAGCAUCUCAGAAAGGAGGUCAUCUGGGUAUCAUUUGACUAGCUGCCUGGCCCCAGAGCUCAGCCCCUAAUUAGGCCAACCUUCACACUUGCAUUUCAGAAAGUGUCAGGACAGCCUGCUCUUGACUCCCAGGGGAUGGCUGAUGGGACAAGACACUGGAACUCUUACUUUCCAGUUCAACCCCCUUGAUUUUACAGCAGGGUCCAGAUCCCACCUUCCAAGGCCAAGGAAGCUCUCUGAGGGUGGAGCCUGGGCUGUUUUUCAUCUCUUUGCCUCCAACUGCCCAGCAGAGAGAGGGCCCUGCCCACAGUCUGCUUUUACUAGCACUGGUUGACUAAAACCAAUAAUACAAGAUUUCCUGGAUGUUUUCCUGGCUUCUGCAUCUCAGCAGACAAUCAGGCGGGAUGCCUCACCCACUCACCAUUUCUGCCCUGGUGAUGAGUCUCUGGAGCCAUGGUCACACAACUAUGCAAUGUAAUUCAAGUCAAUGAAGCUUUAUUAAAUGUCUCCUGAGUGCCAGACCCUGGGAAUACGGAGGCAUGCCAGGAAUGCCCUGGCCCCAGGAGCUCCUUCUAUGGGGGUGGCACAUGUACACAGAAAAUCCAGUAGAAAAUGUAUUUCAAGUAUUCUCAGGGCUCUGGGGUGGGGGGAGGGAGAGGGGACCCAGACCUACUGAGAAGGGCAAUUUGUGAAUAAGAGCCCCAGGAAGGGUUGGGCUGAGCAGCCCAGAAAGGAUGGGGCCCUUCACUUUCCUGAGAUGCACUACCUUUCUCUCUUCGAGAUCCUUCCAGUUGCUUAUAAUUGUUUCCCCACUACAGUGCCAAAUACCUGGCAACCCUUAAUAAGGGGGGGUAUGGCCUGGGCAGGAAAGGAAGCUUUGACCCAGGCCUCCUAUGACUCAGAGUCAUGGGGAUUGUGAGUAGAGUUAGAGGGCAUGUGAUCAUCAGGCUUUUCCAGUCCCAAGGAUGGCGUUGGUUUGCCUGCCUGAAGAAGAGGAGAGGUAGAAGGAAAGGAAGGCAGCCAUCCUAGAGCCUCAGAAGGCCAUGGCCAGACUCCCCUCCCUCCAGAGGUUAGGACAGAAUUGAAAAACUGAAGGUCUAUUGGAAUCCAAAGUUCAAGGCCAUCUCCACACUGAACAAUGAGAAAAGGAAAAG